rnacentral:misc_RNA from 1 species
GAGAAGAACGCAGCGAAAUGCGAUAAGUAAUGUGAAUUGCAGAAUUCAGUGAAUCAUCGAGUCUUUGAACGCACAUUGCGCCCCCUGGUAUUCCGGGGGGCAUGCCUGUCCGAGCGUCAUUGCUGCCCUCAAGCACGGCUUGUGUGUUGGGCCCCCGUCCCCGGUUUCCCCCGGGGACGGGCCCGAAAGGCAGCGGCGGCACCGCGUCCGGUCCUCGAGCGUAUGGGGCUUUGUCACCCGCUCUGUAGGCCCGGCCGGCGCCAGCCGACACCCAACUUUAUUUCUAAGGUUGACCUCGGAUCAGGUAGGGAUACCCGCUGAACUUAAGCAUAUCAAUAAGCGGAGGA